UAUACAGGCCAGGUCCAACCAUAUCCUGACCAUCCAGACAGAUUCACCAACUUGUGUCAGGUUCUGUGUAGAGAGGGUCUGUCUGGACGCUGUUACUGGGAGGUGGAGGGGACUGGUGUUGUUGAUACAGCAGUCUCAUAUAAAGACAUCAGCAGAACAGAGAGAGUAUCAUUGAUCAGCUUGUUGGCUCGGUCCUAAUUGAUGUGUUCUCUGUCACCUGGAGCUGCAUGGAAAAUGGUCCAGGAACUAAAGGACAAUUCAGGACUAGUCAGCCCACUACAAGCUGGUAUCACUUACUUUCUACUAAACUAUAUGGUCUGGUUUCCCAGACACAGAUGAAUCCUAGUCCUGGACUAAACAGUUUGUUCAAUGUAGAUGUCCAGGAAACCGGCCCUAAAUGUGUCAUCUUUCAUCCUCCCAUACUGCUCAGUCCAGCAACAUUAAACCUGUCCAGCAGGUGGUGCUGUUGACCAAACAAUAAAACCAGCAGAUAUCUUGA